UACGUAGGGGGCAAGCGUUGUCCGGAAUCAUUGGGCGUAAAGAGCGUGUAGGCGGUUUGGUAAGUCCGCUGUGAAAGUCAAGGGCUCAACCCUUGAAUGCCGGUGGAUACUGUCGAACUAGAGUCCGGAAGAGGCGAGUGGAAUUCCUGGUGUAGCGGUGAAAUGCGCAGAUAUCGUCAAGAACACCUAUUGCGAAGGCAGCUAACUAAGCUUUAACUGACGCUGAGGCACGAAAGUGUGGGGAUCAAACAGG
rnacentral:rRNA from 1 species